CCCUUUUCCAUCCUUCUCCCUCUUUUCUCCGCCCGUUUCACUCGCCGUGGCCGAUGGACGCACCACCGGAGACCACGGCCACUCCGAAAACGGCGGCGAUGAGAAGGCUCAGCCCUUGGCGCAGACCCGCGAGGCGGCACAGCGAUGGCAGCAACAUUUUUCUCCAACCCGUUUCCGUUUGAGGCUACGACAGAUGUUUCUUGGUUUCCUCAGACGUCUGCGGGGUAGACCAUGCUGCCCGCCGUGAGGGGAGACGCCGCCCCAGGCACGAGCACCCCGCCGCCGAGAAGCUCGUCCAUGGCCAUGGGCCUGUCACCAUCAGUAAGUGCAAGAAGAAAGCUCCGAGGAAGAUCCACAAAGCCGAUAGGGAGAAACAUGAGCCCGACCUGCUCAAUGAUCUCUUCAGUGAACUUGGCAAAAUAGGUGCUUUUAGUAUUCCACUCUCAGUCAUACACCAUGCCUGGUACUACGGGUCCUGCUACAAAAACUGAGGCUUCAUCAGUGAAAAAAUGCAGGUAAAUAAGUUGGACAUUGAGUGCUUGGCUUUAAUUUGGCUACCUGCCAUCAGUUCUAACUACUAAACUCAUUUCAGUUCCACUGAAUUCAAGCUUCAAGCAUCUGAGAGCAAGGCUGACAACUGCUGAGCAAGAUGAUCCUGAUAAAACAAGGGCAGCAGACUAAAUAGUUUCUUUUAUUGUUCUGCAGAUCUUCCCCGUGAGGCGCUACAGAUCAGAUGGGCGCUGUCGUGAAGGCCGCGAAGGCGUGGCCGGCGGCAUGGGUUAGCCUGUGGGUGGUACCACCGUGCUGCUCUGGACGUGCAUUGUGGUGCUGCUCAUGGCGGCUUUCGAAGGGAGACAAAGUGCAGGACAUAGAGAAUUUGGGGGCUACUCGGGUUUGGAUCAGCAAGCCAUGUCUGUUUCGUUUGGCAAAGGCCUUUUAUCCUUUUUCUAUAAUGCCAUGAACGUCUCUGAAUUUUUACACUGCUUCCAGCCGAUGCUUAAUAUUUUUUCCAACAUAUUUGUGACUGGAGCCCACACAUACAUAGUCAUGGAUCUGAUUUUGUGUUUUGGAUCUUGCUAUUUCACUGAUUUGGAACAUCUAUAUGCAGUUCUAGGCUUCUAGCUAGAUGGAUUAAUAGAUAUGUUGGACCUAUGCAUUUUAUAUUACCCGCAUGGAUCUAUGUUUGUUAUUUGAUGCUCGUCCUUAUCCCGGGGAAGAAUUUUUGCGAAGAGAGGUCAUUUUUGGAGAUAUGGAUUUGUUGUCACUUCAGCAGUAUGCUUUUAGUGCUACAGAGUAUGCUGUGAAAUUAGAUUAGAUUGAUGAUUAGCGAUUAACUAUAGAACUGUUGGCAGCAACAGUUUAACAUAUGUUGAUUUCUGGCCCAUCUUUAUUUGCUUUAAACUAUGAAUUUGAAAACAAAAGAAUUAUACAUUUGUUGAUGCUAAAUUUAUCGGUCCUUUUGUUUUGAUAAUCACCUCUUGCAUAUGUGUUCCUGCGUAGUUUUUGUACUGCCACAGCUUGGUUGUUUUGGCAGGAUAAUGUAUUUUCUUAUGAAAAACACGAAUGAGUAAUUACAUGAUAUAUUAUUAAUAUUAGACUAUGUUGUUUCUCUGAAACUAACUUUGUAUUUCAGCUUUGGAAACUGGUGUUCUAAUGUUAGUUCCGACAAGAGGGCCACUAUAACCACCAACUAGUCUGAGUUUCGUCGCCAUGCCAACAUUCACGAAGGAGACGUCUGUGCAUUUUGUUUCAGGAUCACUUAAAAGCGCCGCCUGGUUUUCACCGUGCACCGCCUCUAGAUGCACCAUCGAAGACACUGUAGCCCCUGUGUCAAUAUAAUCUAGCACUAAGUACUCUUAAUUAUGCUCUAUCCUGUGAUAACCUAUGGUUUGCUUUUGGCCCUAUCACAAGCUUUUCAAGACGCUAAAUCUAUCUUGUUGCUUAUGUAAAGUGCACUAUUAUCAGUCAGAUGUUUCAUGUUCAGAUCCAUUGUAACGCCUCGAGACCGAUGUGCCAGGUGUCUUCCAGUUAUUCGCUGUUGUUGC
rnacentral:rRNA from 1 species